rnacentral:rRNA from 1 species
AGUGAACGCUGGCGGUAGGCCUAACACAUGCAAGUCGAACGGCAGCACAGUAAGAGCUUGCUCUUACGGGUGGCGAGUGGCAGACGGGUGAGGAAUACAUCGGAAUCUACUUUUUCGGGGGGGAUAACGUAGGGAAACACACUCUAAUACCGCGUACGACCUACGGGUGAACGCAGGGGAUCUUCGGACCUUGCGCGUUUGAAUGAGCCGAUGUCGGAUUAGCUAGUUGGCGGGGUAAAGGCCCACCAAGGCGACGAUCCGUAGCUGGUCUGAGAGGAUGAUCAGCCACACUGGGACUGAGACACGGCCCAGACUCCUACGGGAGGCAGCAGUGGGGAAUAUUGGACAAUGGGCGCAAGCCUGAUCCAGCCAUACCGCGUGGGUGAAGAAGGCCUUCGGGUUGUAAAGCCCUUUUGUUGGGAAAGAAAAGCAGCAGGUUAAUACCCCGCUGUUCUGACGGUACCCAAAGAAUAAGCACCGGCUAACUUCGUG